AUCCAAGAUUUUCAUUUCAUCAGGUCAUGGACAUACAUGAGUAUCCUAGAUUAGUAGACAUUCUUGGAAUUGUUAUCAGUAAAUGCAUCAGGGCAUGGAUUUCUCAUUGGAGCUAUCAUCUUGAACCAUAAUUUGCGUUAGCUGCCAUGGCGGUAAUGGAUUAUUGAAACAUGGCGUCUAUCCGAAACCAAUUUGUUAAACUGGGGUUUACCGUAUAUUCUUGCUAGCUGGAUAAUAUUUAUAACCACGGAUGAAUGAUAUUACACCAAGUAAUGAUGUUGCAAGGGAGCUUAUCCGGUUUUGCCGAAGGUCGCCUCCACGUGGCUAACAUUGAACUCACCAUGUCGGAUUACAGCAAUGCUGCCACUGUUGCGAAUGCCCAAACAAUGUAAAUUAUGUCUAAAUCCAUUAGUAGUAUAUCAAAACUCCAAGAUCCCCAGGGCCUGCAUUCUAUAUGUUCAC